GUCCGGAGUUCUGUGCGCCUGCGCCGUGCCGAGCGGUGGGCGGGGCGCCAGUGCAGUAGCGGAGUGGCUGCGGGAAGCGGGAUCCUGCAGCGGUGUCUGUCUCUUCCUUGCAGCCAGGCGCGUUCUUGUUCUCUUCCCGCGUAGAGUUUGGGAUGUGGAAAUGUCAGCCAGACUUCUCAGAGCCCUGGCCGGAUCUCACUGUAUUUUGUCAAAAGCAUGUCACUGCCAAAAACUUGUUCAUCAGACAGUAAAAUCUCUUAAGGCAUUUGAGAGUACAAUGUGCAGCACCCUGGCAAGAAGCCAGAACUUGGAUUUGUUCUUUCCUGAUAGAGCAGCUGGUGGUUCGAAUAAGUCCCAGAUUCUGGACAUGAACCAGAGCAUAUCAAAUGCAAGCAUAUUCUAUGCAUUAAACACUGCGUAUUGCCAAGAUGAAAACGCGCCCUUUCCAAGCAAGAAGUCCCUGGGUGCUCACCGGAAAGUGACUCACAGACCAAAUCUAUUAGGUCCUAAGUGGUUUGUAAAGAUAUUAGAGAGGCAUUACUCAUCGACGUCAACAGAAACGCUUGUUCCUAAACAGGACUUUCCACAGAUCAAGAGACCACUGAAAGCAUCGAGGACCAGGCAGCCAUCCAGGACCAACCUUCCCCUUCUGUCUGCGAAUGAGGAGCUGAUGCACUGCACAGCAUUUGCAACUGCAGAUGAAUAUCUUCUUGGAAAUCUUUCUCAAGAUCUGGCCUGUCACGGAUAUGUUGAAGUAACAAGCUUACCUAGAGAUGCAGCAAACAUUUUGGUGAUGGGUGUGGAAAAUUCUGCAAAAGAAGGUGAUCCUGGAAUAAUCUUCUUCUUCAGGGAAGGAGCAGCUGUGUUCUGGAAUGUGAGAGACAAAACUAUGAAGCAAGUGAUGCAAGUUCUAGAAAAACAUGAAAUUCAGCCCUAUGAGAUUGCAUUGGUACACUGGGAAAAUGAAGAGCUUAACUACAUAAAAACAGAGGGGCCGUCAAAACUUCACAGAGGGGAAAUCAGGUUAAAUUCAGAGCUAGAUUUAGAUGACGCCAUUCUAGAGAAAUUUGCUUUCUCAAAUGCUCUUUGCCUUUCAGUGAAACUGGCUAUUUGGGAAGCAUCAUUGGAUAAAUUUGUUGAAUCGAUUCAGUCAAUUCCAGAGGCUUUAAAAGCUGGGAAGAAAGUGAAACUGUCUCAUGAAGAAGUGAUGCAGAAAAUGGGUGAACUCUUUGCCCUAAGACACCGUAUCAACUUGAGCUCAGACUUCUUGAUCACUCCUGAUUUCUACUGGGACAGAGAAAACCUGGAAGAACUUUAUGAUAAAACAUGUCAGUUCUUAAGCAUUACUCGUAGAGUUAAGGUCAUGAAUGAAAAACUUCAGCACUGCAUGGAGCUCACAGAUCUAAUGCGGAAUCACUUGACAGAGAAAAGGGCGCUCCGCCUGGAGUGGAUGAUUGUCAUCCUCAUCACCAUCGAGGUAAUGUUUGAGCUGGGACGAGUAUUUUUUCUAAUCAAAUGAUGACCAAAGGAAAAGUAUCAUUUCAAGAGAUAUUCAAGUUCUACAAUCAAAGAUAAAUGCUCACUAUUGGGGGAAAUCUCUUAUUUAAUAGUGCGAAGGUGAACAUCCUGGUGUCUUGUUUCAGCACACCACAAGGGUUGUUCCCAAGUAGCAGGCGGUCUUCUAGCUGAGGUACCUAUGCCCCAAGGGUGCCGAAGACUUCCCAAGGAGCACGUGGGCAUGGACAGUUCAAGAAUUGCUUUCUAGAUCCUCAAGUUCCACAUAAGCACUUUCCUAAAACUGCUGUACCUGUGUACACACCUGCAAUCCGUGUAUCAAGCCUAUCUGAACUGGAAAACUCGAAAAACAAGAGAUCCUAAGUAUAAACUUGACUUUUACUUUAGCUUCUACACGUCUUGGAAAUUUGCUUACCACAGCAAUUUUUAAAAAUAUUCCCAGUGUAAAAAGAUGGACUAGAGCACUUCUUGAACUCAACAAAUGAAGACUUACAGAGGGCAACAAACGAAUGAAAAAUGAUGUAAUUCCAGUGAAAUCUAAACCACUAAGACACUAUUUCUUAAAUUCAAGGUGUUGAUCUUAAUAUAAACAGCCUGUGUGUUCCGAGUUCUGGUUACCUUAGAUUUUUGGCUCUUAAGCACCUUGACAGCAAGUAAGAUGAGUAGGACUACUUGUCCAUCAGUGCAUUAAUGAAAUCUGAUUAACUGGAAUCUUUGCAUUUUCUUCAUGUGGCCCUUUCAGAUCCUAGAUUUCAUGGAGCAGCCGGGCUUUCACUGCUAAAUGUGGAAAGACCUGGCGAAGCAGGCAGCUGCUUAUCCUAUCUUCAGACCACAUUUUAGAAACUAAUGUUUAAACAGAUAUCUUUUUCAAAUCAGGACUCUGCCGCAACUCUACAGAUAAGAACAGGAACCUCCUCUACCAAUGAUCAGCCAUCUUCAAAGAGAAAAACAAGUUGGCUUAUCCACACACAGUUGUUAUCAAUCAAGGGAAGUAUUUUUUUCUAUCAUUUCACUUUCAAACAUAAAAAACUCCAAGUCAAACACAAUUCUAUAUGUAAAAAUUCAGUCACGUCACAUCUUGUCUUCAGAAGUAUUUCAAUAAAAAUUUUUAAAAUAUCUCAAAAUUAAAUGUCUUGAAAAAUCAGCGGUGACUAUUGAUAUAUGUUAAAACUUGGAUGACCCUUUCUCUCAACUUGGCUGAGUGAAAGAAGCCAGUCUCAGAAGGCUACAUAUUGUAUGAUUCCAUUUAUAUAAUGUGCCAGAAAAGACAAAACUAGCCAUGAAGAACAAAUCAGUGGCUGCCAGGGGAAAAGGGCUGGAGGAGAGCAUGAGGGAGGUUUCUGAAGUGAAAGAACUGUCCUGCAUACUGACUGUGGUGCUUGUUAAAUGUAUAUCUAUAUGAAAGUGCACAACUUUACACUGAUUCUAAAAUUACUUUAGUAAUUCAAAAAUGUCAAUGGUCCUAUCACACACUGAGGUGUUAGUGGUGCUAAGCCCACUUACAUGCAUACAUUUUAUUUUAUACUCACACAAUCCUACAAGGCAAAUAUCCCAAUAUGAGUAAAACAAAAAACUGAGGCUGAGGUUAAACAAUAUGCCCAAAGCCAAACAGCAUAAGGAACAGAGCAUGAUUCUGAUCUGACUCCACAGCCUAUAUUCUUAACCACUGUAAUAAUAUCCUAUACUCUUCUCCCCUCUAUUUGUAAAUACCAACCAAUGAUAUCAGAAUGUGGUUUUCUCAUUCUACUCCUAACUCAACAUACUACAGAUAAUGUGAAAAAGUGCCGAUGAGCAACACUGUCCAACAGAACUGUGACAAUGGAAAUGUUCGACAUUUAUAUGGCCACAUGUGGCUAGUCACUACUGAAUUGAACGGCACAGUCUAGAGAAAUACAAGAAUGUGCAUGCCACUUAAAGAAACAACCUAUCAAAGUAUAUGACAACACACCAACAAUACAACAAUUCAAGGUAGGUGUAUACUGGGAUAAAGCUGAGAAAUGCACAACCCCCAAACACAUCACAAAACUAAAUCUGUCCAACACUCAUCCUUCAAGAUUGUUUAAAUAUCAACUUCAUUCAUAUCACCACAGCACUUUGCACAUGUAGAGCGUAGAACCAAUUGUAUAUUAAGUCUGACUGUGUUCUCCCCCAUUAGCAUCUUACAAGCAUCUUAAGUCAUUAACAUAUACACCACCAGCAACCACCACCUACAUACAGCAGCUUUCUACAAGAAACAUUUUUUCAUUCCGUUCUAGUGGGAAAAUUAUCGUCUUAGGUCGUCCUUCAACUACAAAUUUAAUCUGCAAGCCUUUGAGUACCAGCAGGACACAAAAAAGGCAGUCCCAGCUUCCAGCGGGGAUGGGAGAUACAAUAUAUAGGUAGACAAAUGACAAGAAGAGUAAUCAAAUAAGUAUGUACAACCAGUGCUUUAGGGCUGAACAGGAACUGUCAGGAGUCCUGGUGGUAAGAGAAACCAGAAAGCAGUUUAAGAAAAAAGCAGCCAUUAUCCAAUUCUGUAAUAGCAAAAGUGUAAUUUACUGUAUCCCCAUCUAUUACUCAGAAAAGCCUAAUGGAUUUUUUUAAAAAAUGCCUUAGAAAGUGAUCAUGACUUUACUCACACUACCAAUGUCAGGGUCUCAUCCUGCAACUUGUACCACUAAGUCAAAACUGGUCUUAGAACAAAUCCUUCUAG